rnacentral:lncRNA from 1 species
UCGUAACAAGAAACCGAAGACCUUUAAUUUCCGGAUCGCAGAUCGGAGGUCGUUCGGUGGUCGCGCGUGAAUAGGGUCGAGCCGAGCGGCGUGCGCCGCGGGACGCCGAUUGCGAGUGACGACGAGCAAUCGGAAUGCUGUAAAAGGUGGGUGGUGACCAUCCCGAAGCAGUUGAACUGCUCCCUAUGUCUAAGGAUUAUG